GCUGUAUUCCCUCCGUCCGAAAAAACUUGUCCUUCAAAUAAAUGUAUCUAGCACCAAGUUAGUGCUAGAUACAUCCAUUUGAAGAACAAAUUUGGGACAAGCAUUUUCGGACGGAGGGUACUUU
rfam:Triticum aestivum genome assembly, contig: Triticum_aestivum_CS42_TGACv1_scaffold_342488_4DL